GCUAUCAUGCAGUCGAGCGGGAUUGGUAGCAAUACCAUGAGAGCGGCGCACGGGUGAGUAACGCGUACACGACCUACCUCUAACAGGGGGAUAGCCCUGGGAAACUGGGAUUAAUACCGCAUAUAAUUCUGAUAAAUAAAUGAUUGGAAUGAAAGUUCAGGCGGUUAGAGAUGGGUGUGCGUCUGAUUAGCUAGUUGGUAAGGUAACGGCUUACCAAGGCGAUGAUCAGUAGGGGGCGUGAGAGCGUGGACCCCCACACGGGUACUGAGACACGGACCCGACUCCUACGGGAGGCAGCAGUAAGGAAUAUUGGUCAAUGGGCGAAAGCCUGAACCAGCCAUCCAGCGUGCAGGAAGAAGGCCCUACGGGUUGUAAACUGCUUUUGUCAGGGAAGAAACCCUUGGAUUCACUCCGAGGCUGACGGUACCUGAAGAAUAAGCACCGGCUAACUCCGUGCCAGCAGCCGCGGUAAUACGGAGGGUGCGAGCGUUAUCCGGAAUUACUGGGUUUAAAGGGUGCGUAGGCGGCUUGGUAAGUCAGGAGUGAAAGUUUGCGGCUCAACCGUAAAAUUGCUUUUGAUACUGCCAGGCUAGAAUCAGGAUGAGGUCAGCGGAAUGUGGCAUGUAGCGGUGAAAUGCAUAGAUAUGCCAUAGAACACCUAUUGCGAAGGCAGCUGGCUAGACCUGUAUUGACGCUGAGGCACGAAAGCGUGGGGAGCGAACAGGAUUAGAUACCCUGGUAGUCCACGCCCUAAACGAUGCUACUCGACGUAUGGCGCUAGUCGUUGGGGCGUCAAGGAAACGUUAGUCAGCCACCUGGGGGAGUACGAC
rnacentral:rRNA from 2 species